GAAAUUCAAGAAUUGAUAACGAAAUCAGGCACGAAAUCGAAUGCAUGAACCAAAGAUGAUGAUCCCUUAAGUAGUUCUAACAUCAAGAUAGGAACCCCAAAUCGACAUGGACUCAAGUAUGGAAGGCUAAUGGAUCAAGAGGAAAUGAGGAAGCUAUGCACAAACUUGGACGCACAAGGAAUUGUACGGGUCUCUCUCUUUGUGACUAAUAUAACCAAGUGAGCGUAGAUCGAGUCAAGUGCAAGGAUUGUACGGAAAGAACGGUUACGUAGUCUUAACUUUGUAAUGCAUUAAUUUGUAAAUGGAAGUGAAUUUUGUAAGCUUCUUCAUGAAUGUGUGUAUUGUAAUAAGAUCAUAAAGAAAUUUUUAAAGCUAUUUUUCCGCUGCGUUA